UUUAACUGAAGAGUUUGAUCAUGGCUCAGAUUGAACGCUGGCGGCAGGCUUAACACAUGCAAGUCGAGCGGGGGAAGGUAGCUUGCUACUGGACCUAGCGGCGGACGGGUGAGUAAUGCUUAGGAAUCUGCCUAUUAGUGGGGGACAACAUCUCGA
rnacentral:rRNA from 1 species